CCUACGGGUGGCAGCAGUGGGGAAUAUUGCACAAUGGGGGAAACCCUGAUGCAGCGAAGCCGCGUGAGUGAAGAAGUAAUUCGUUGUGUAAAACUCUAUCAGCAGGGGAGAAAAUGACGGUACCUGAGUAAGAAGCCCCGGCUAACCACGGGCCAGCAGCCGCGGGAAUACGUAGGGGGCAAGCGUUAUCCGGAUUUACUGGGUUUAAAGGGCGUGUAGCCGGGUUGACAAGUCAGAUGGGAAAUCCUGCGGGUUAACCGCAGAACUGCAUUUGAAACUGUUGAUCUUGAGUACUGGAGAGGCAGACGGAAUUCGUAGUGUAGCGGUGAAAUGCGUAGAUAUUAGGAGGAACCCCAGUGGCGAAGGCAGUAUGCUGGACAGCAACUGACGGUGAGGCGCGAAAGCGUGGGGAGCAAACAGGAUUAGAUACCCUUGUAGUC
rnacentral:rRNA from 1 species